GGUCUGCGCGGUUGGGCCCCGCGGAGAGGGCGAUGCUGGCGAGGCGGCCGCGCGAUCCCCUCCAGGCCCUGCGGCGCGGCAACCAGGAGCUGAAGCGACAGGUUGAUAGUUUGCUUUCUGAGAGCCAGUUGAAAGGAGCUCUAGAAACCAAUAAAAGGCGUGAUAUUUACCAAAGAUGUAUCCAGUUAAAACAUGCAAUAGAUGAAAAUAAAAAUACUCUUCAAAAAUUAAGCAAAGCUGAUGAAUCUGCACCAGUUGGGAAUUACAAUCAGAGAAAAGAAGAGGAGCAUAAUCUCUUGGAUAAGCUAACCCACCAACUGCAACAGCUCGCUGUGACCAUAAGCAGAGAAAAUAUAACUGAAAUUGGGACACUUACUGAAAGGGAGGAAGAUGAUGAUUCUGCUGAGGAAGGUGAAGAAGAAGAGAGAGAAGAGGAAGAUGAUGAAGAAGAAGACGACGACGAUGAUAGUGAAGAAAGUGGUGAGGAGGAAGAGGGAACAGCAGAGAAGGAGAAACAGGAAGAUGAACCUCACACACAGGCAACAAGUGAAGAAUAUAUUGCAGUUGGAGAUUUUACGGCUCAGCAAGUUGGGGAUCUUACGUUUCAGAAGGGGGAGAUUCUCCUGAUAAUUGAAAAGAAGCCCGAUGGCUGGUGGAUUGCUCAGAACACCAAAGGAAAUAAAGGUCUUGUCCCCAGAACCUACUUGGAGCCCAGUAAUAAAGAAAAAGGCCAAGAAUCAAGUGAAGAAGGCAGUGAAGAAGAUGUAGAGGUGGUGGACGAAACAGCAGAUGGAACAGAAGUUAAACAGAGAACGGAUUCUCACUGGAGCGCUGUUCGGAAAGCUAUUUCAGAGCAGAUAAACACUAUCGAUGCGCUAGCCACAACGGGAGCCGUUCCUGCAGGGUUCAGGCCAUCCACACUCGCCCAGCUUCUGGAGGAAGGGAAUCAAUUUCAAGCAAGUUACUUCUUACAGCCGGAGCUCACCCCGUCACAGCUGGCCUUCAGAGACUUACAGUGGGAUGUUAAAGCAGGCUCUAUUCGGUCAAGAGCAAGCCGUGUUUCGUUGGUUCUGACCCUGUGGAGUUGUAAAAUGAUCCCUCUUCCAGGAACGAGCAUACAGGUUCUCAGCAGACAUGUCCGCCUCUGUCUGUUGAGUGGUAAUAAGGUUCUGAGCAACAUUCAUACUGUCAGAGCCACGUGGCAGCCUAAAAAGCCCAAAACCUGGACCUUUUCUCCCCAGGUCACUGGGAUCUUGCCUUGCCUGCUUGAUGGUGACUGUUUUCUCAGGUCCAAUUCUUCGUCCCCAGACCUUGGAAUAUUAUUUGAGCUUGGAAUUUCUUAUAUUCGCAACUCCACCGGGGAAAGAGGAGAGUUAAGCUGUGGCUGGGCAUUUCUUAAGCUUUUUGAUGCCAGUGGAACUCCUAUUCCAACCAGGACUUACGAUCUCUUUUUGAAUGGCGGCACCCCUUAUGAAAAAGGUGUUGAAGUGGACCCUUCAGUAUCCAGAAGAGCACAUGGCAGUGUUUUCUAUCAGAUGAUGACAAUGAGAAGACAGCCUCAACUUCUAGUAAAACUGAGAUCUCUGAACAGAAGGUCAAGAAACAUGCUGAGUCUGCUGCCAGAAACGUUAAUUGGAAGUAUGUGCUCCAUUCACCUGUUGGUAUUUUAUCGCCAAAUCCUUGGAGACGUGCUCCUGAAAGACAGGAUGAGCUUGCAAAGUGCUGAUUUAAUUAGUAAUCCAGUGUUGGCCACCUUCCCCAAGCUCUUGGAGCAGCCCGAUAUUAUGGAUGCUCUCAGGAGUUCAUGGGCUGAGAAGGAAAGCACACUGAGAAGAUCAGAGAAGGGAGACAGAGAGUUCCUGAAGGCCGCAUUCACCCUGGUGUACCACGACUGUGUGUACCCGCUCAUCCAUUCCACGCUCCUGCCUCCCUUCAGGUGGGCGGAAGAGGAGACGGAGGCCACGCGAUGGAAAGUUAUCGCCGACUUCCUGAAGCAAAACCAAGAAAAGGAGGGCGCUCUCCAAGCUUUGCUGGCACCCGAAGGAGUUCAUGAGCCUUUUGACCUUUCAGAGCAGACUUACGACUUCUUAGGUGAAACAAGACAGAACGUGGCCUGACUCUCGGCCCCCGGAGUCUGGUGGACGCUCCAUGGCAACAAAUGAGUUGAGGAGCUGAAAAAUGUUGCGAUUCCCUUGUGUGAGCUGAGGCUGAUUGUUAGGGGACACAGCAUAUAUUAAAGAGAAGAUACAAUCUGCCUUCAAUGAUUUUAUGGUUGAAUAUGUGAGGCCAGACCAACUCACAUGGACCCAGUUGAAAUAUAUGACACCAUGUAAAGACGAAGUGGGCUUAACUUGCCAACCAGGUAGCAGCUGUGAAACUCAUCUGUUUAACAAAGAAAGGAGAUAGAAGUGUCGUCGGCUAGCUGAGGGCUUCAUCCUUUGCACAGUGUAGGAUAUCUUUCACUGUGGACUCGCUCAUCUUCCUCUUGUGUGACGCAUUCCAAGUUGGGCGGUCUUCUCCGAGGCUUGGGGGACCAGAGCUAGCUGUCGCAUAGCUGCUUUCUGUUCUCUUUCCUCAAAACAGCCAGAUUUUGCUGGUGAAAUAAGCCAGUCACAAAAGGAUAAAUACUGUAUGAGACCACUACCGUAAAAACUCAUGGAAAGGUUUACACACAAAAAGAAACAAUCCGAUGGUCACGAGGGAGGGGAGGGGUUGUUGUUAGGUGCUGUCAAGUCGGUUCCGACUCGUAGCAACUCUGUGUACCACAGAACGAAACACUGCCUGGUCCUGUGCCCAUCCUUACAAUCGUUAUGCUUGAGCCCGUCGUUGCAGCCACUGUGUCAGCCCAUCUUGUUGAGGGUCUCCCUCUUUUCCGCUGACCCUGCACUUUGCCAAGCAUGAUGUCCUUCUCCAGGAUACUCUACUUGUCUUACCCCUUUGGGAGCAAGGAAGAAUGAAGAAAACUGAAGAUAUAAGAAAGAUUAGUCCAGAGGACUAAUGGACCACAUCUACCACGCCCUCCACCAGACUGAACCCAGUACAACUAGAUUGUCCCUGGUUACCACCACUGAUUGAUCUGACAGGGAUCAGAAAAGAGGGUCCCAGAUGGAGCUGGAGAAAAAUGCAGAACAAAAUUCUAACUCAAAAAGAAAAGACCAGACUUGCUGGCCUGACAAAGACUGGAGAAACCCUGAGUGUAUGGCCCUCAGACGCCCUUUCAGCUCAGUAAUGAAGUCACUCCUGGGGUCCAUCCUUCAGCCCAAGAUUGGACAGGCCCAGAAAACAAAACAACACUAAAGGGGCACAAUAGCCCUGGGGCAGGGACUAGAAGGCAGGAGGGGACAGGAAAGCUAGUAAUAGGGAACCCAGGGUUAAGAAGGGAGAGUGUUGACGUGUCGCAGGGUGGUUAACCAAGGUCACAAAACAAUACGUGUACUAAGUACUUGAGAAACUAGUUCUGUCAACCUUCGUCUAAGGUACAAUUAAAAAAAAAAAAAAUCCUACUUAAGUUAGGGCUUGUCCAAGUCUUAUGGUUGUGUGUUUAUUCAGCACGGAUUUACUGAGCACCUUAUGUACUCUGGGCUCAGCAUUAGGCUUCGAGGUUACAGCGGAAGCAGCUCUGACUUACAGUGGACAAGGCUAACAGGAAUCACACAAACGUGCGAUGGAGGAAGGGUACCGAGAGCUAGAAGAGCCUGUCGUAUCUUCUUGUUGCAUUUUAAAUUGCUAUAAUACUGUGACAGGCAGAGUGCUCAGCUUACAGGCGUUCCGCCUUAGGUAUGGGCACUCCUCCAGACUCCACCAUCCCACACUGGAGACCAGCUGGAUUCAGCGAAGGUUUCAGAGGGAUCCCUCACCAGCUGAAUCCCCACCACGCACUGUCUGAAGCUUGGGACACAUGGAUGUGAUAACGUGACAUCCUUCCACACCCACGCUUGCUGUCUGAACUCCCUGUAUUUGGAUGCAGUGACCACACUUACGUGGGUGCUGAGGGAGAAGUAUAGCGGUGAGGGAUGGGCUGUGGUCUGUCAUAGGUAGGGACCUGGAGGCCUAGGGGUCUGUGACUCAGAACGACUGACAGCGGAUGAGGGAUUAUAGGUCCAUGUGCAGCAAUAUAAAACAAAUCAUUAAUGAAAUACAGCUUAAAAUCUGGACUUUGGUAGUAUGUCGAUGGUACCGUCCAUUUCUCUCUCAUACUCAGUAAGACGGGCUGAACCUUAACCUGCUCAUGUGUGUCUGACUUUUCCAGCAAAGAUUAACUUUGUAGAACUUUGUCCUUUCAAAGGGAUCACUUUGGGGUAUAAUAAAAAAAGGUUCUGUGCUUUCUGAUCUCUUCUGCAGGUAGGCCUUGCUGGAUGAUCCAAAUAUUAUCCCAUUGGGUCUUUCUUCUUUUCUGUCCUUUGACCCUGAAGUGUGUUGUGCCUGCCCAGACUGCGCAGACGCCAGGACCC